rnacentral:rRNA from 1 species
UGGGGAAUUUUGGACAAUGGGGGAAACCCUGAUCCAGCCAUCCCGCGUGUGCGAUGAAGGCCUUCGGGUUGUAAAGCACUUUUGGCAGGAAAGAAACGUCAUGGGUUAAUACCCCGUGAAACUGACGGUACCUGCAGAAUAAGCACCGGCUAACUACGUGCCAGCAGCCGCGGUAAUACGUAGGGUGCAAGCGUUAAUCGGAAUUACUGGGCGUAAAGCGUGCGCAGGCGGUUCGGAGAGAAAGAUGUGAAAUCCCAGAGCUCAACUUUGGAACUGCAUUUUUAACUACCGGGCUAGAGUGUGUCAGAGGGAGGUGGAAUUCCGCGUGUAGCAGUGAAAUGCGUAGAUAUGCGGAGGAACACCGAUGGCGAAGGCAGCCUCCUGGGAUAACACUGACGCUCAUGCACGAAAGCGUGGGGAGCAAACAGG